rnacentral:rRNA from 1 species
GAUGAACGCUAGCGGCAGGCCUAACACAUGCAAGUCGAGGGGUAGGACACUUCGGUGUUUGAGACCGGCGCACGGGUGCGUAACGCGUAUGCAAUCUACCUUAUACAGGGGAAUAGCCCAGAGAAAUUUGGAUUAAUGCCCCAUAGUAUUAUUGAAUGGCAUCAUUUAAUAAUUAAAGUUCCAACGGUAUAAGAUGAGCAUGCGUCCCAUUAGUUAGUUGGUAAGGUAACGGCUUACCAAGACGAUGAUGGGUAGGGGUCCUGAGAGGGAGAUCCCCCACACUGGUACUGAGACACGGACCAGACUCCUACGGGAGGCAGCAGUGAGGAAUAUUGGUCAAUGGUCGCAAGACUGAACCAGCCAUGCCGCGUGCAGGAAGACGGUCCUAUGGAUUGUAAACUGCUUUUAUACAGGAAGAAACCCUCCCACGUGUGGGAGCUUGACGGUACUGUAGGAAUAAGGAUCGGCUAACUCCGUGCCAGCCGCCGCAGUAAAAC